UUGGAGAAUUUGAAGACUUCAACUUGCAGACUUGAAAAAUUUGAAGACUUCAACUUAUAGACUUGGAGUAUUUGAAGACUUGAACU
rnacentral:pre_miRNA from 1 species